rnacentral:rRNA from 1 species
ACCUCGAUGUUGGAUUAAGAUAAAAUUUAAAUGCAAAAAUUUAAAAUUUUGAUCUGUUCGAUCAUUAAAAUCUUACAUGAUCUGAGUUCAAACCGGUGUGAGCCAGGUUGGUUUCUAUCUUUAUAAAAAUAAAAUAAUUUAGUACGAAAGGAUCAAUUA